rnacentral:piRNA from 1 species
UCUCUGGGGUUGCAAACUGGCAUUAAGUGG